rnacentral:rRNA from 1 species
AUUGAACGCUGGCGGCAUGCUUUACACAUGCAAGUCGAACGGUAACAGGUCUUCGGAUGCUGACGAGUGGCGAACGGGUGAGUAAUGCAUCGGAACGUGCCCAGUCGUGGGGGAUAACGCAGCGAAAGCUGUGCUAAUACCGCAUACGAUCUAUGGAUGAAAGCGGGGGACCGUAAGGCCUCGCGCGAUUGGAGCGGCCGAUGUCAGAUUAGCUAGUUGGUGGGGUAAAGGCCCACCAAGGCGACGAUCUGUAGCUGGUCUGAGAGGACGACCAGACACGCUGGGACUGAGACACGGCCCAGACUCCUACGGGAGGCAGCAGUGGGGAAUUUUGGACAAUGGGCGCAAGCCUGAUCCAGCAAUGCCGCGUGCAGGAAGAAGGCCUUCGGGUUGUAAACUGCUUUUGUACGGAACGAAACGGUCUGGGUUAAUACCCUGGGCUAAUGACGGUACCGUAAGAAUAAGCACCGGCUAACUACGUGCCAGCCGCCGCAGUAAAAC